CUCGGCACUCUAUCUCUCAGACUCGCUCUUCCUCUCUCCACUUUCCUGUCCUCCAUCUUCUCUGCAUCACCGACAACACCAUCACCCCGUCGGUGCGAUCCGACAAACCUCACCACCACCGCAACACUACCUAAACAUAUACGUCACAAACUCUAGCCCUGGAAUGGUUACUUUUUCUCUCUUCUCUCUCUAGGCACCGCCACUGUUCAAUACUAUCUCCGGUGAUUUCUCACAGUUCCCGACGAAGGUGCAAUUACUAUCAGAGACUCCGGCUUUCCUAGCUCGAACCAAUGUGACAUCAUAAGUAACUGUUUUAGUGGCAGAGCUUUCAUGUCGACGAGGACUUUCUGGCAAAACAUUGUUAUGGGAAUACUCCCGAUGGAGUAACAUGAUCGAAAGAACUUAUUUUUCUGCUAUAUGGGGCUGCUAGAAACUAAAUGAAAAUAAAAGGAGAGAGCUAAGGGGAAUAAAAGAAAGCUGCCUUUGCAGCUAGCGAGAAAAGAAGAAGUAGAAAAUAAACGGACUGGUCAGGUUGGGAUCAGAGUUUGCACUGAGGUUUUAUUAAACUUAAAGAUAUUUGGUGGAAUGCGGUAGAUGGAGAAUAAGCUGCCUUUGGCAGCAUGUGAAGUAAAAGCAGCACUAGGCCACUUGCAGCGUGGAGCGCAGAAAUAAGAAACAAAAAGAAUAGGCACUUGCAGCGUGAGUGUGGUGGGUGAGGCAUUAGCCUCGGGAGAGUGCAGCCUUGAAAAACCGAGUGCAGCCUUGAAGAGAGGGGGGAAAAGAAGAGGAAAGGGGAGUGAGGGAACGCGGAAAAGAAACGGUGAAAAAGGAAAGCUGCCCUUGGGCAGCGUGAGGAUAACAAGGCGCGGGAGGGGUGAGUACGAGCAACAGUCCACACAGGCGCAGGAAACGGGAGAGCAGGGAGAAGACGCACAGCGCCAGCGCAACGGAAAUAAGGAGAGGCAGAGAGAAGGUCAGAGGCGCAGGAAAGGAAAGAAGGAAAUAAGGAGAGACCAA